UGGGGAAUAUUGGACAAUGGGCGAAAGCCUGAUCCAGCCAUGCCGCGUGUGUGAAGAAGGUCUUCGGAUUGUAAAGCACUUUAAGUUGGGAGGAAGGGCAGUAAGCGAAUACCUUGCUGUUUUGACGUUACCGACAGAAUAAGCACCGGCUAACUCUGUGCCAGCAGCCGCGGUAAUACAGAGGGUGCGAGCGUUAAUCGGAUUUACUGGGCGUAAAGCGUGCGUAGGCGGCUAAUUGAGUCGGAUGUGAAAUCCCCGAGCUUAACUUGGGAAUUGCAUUCGAUACUGGUUAGCUAGAGUGUGGGAGAGGAUGGUAGAAUUCCAGGUGUGGCGGUGAGAUGCGUAGAGAUCUGGAGGAAUACCGAUGGCGAAGGCAGCCAUCUGGCCUAACACUGACGCUGAGGUACGAAAGAAUGGGGAGCAAACAGG
rnacentral:rRNA from 1 species